rnacentral:misc_RNA from 1 species
AGCAGCCGCGGUAAUUCCAGCUCCAAUAGCGUAUAUUAAAGUUGUUGCAGUUAAAAGCUCGUAGUUGAAUUUCGGGAUUGGCGCAUCGGUCGUGCCUCACGGGGUAUGAACUGGUGCAGUCAAUUUCUCACCUUCUGGAGAACCGCGAUGUCCUUAAUUGGAUGCCGCGGGGAACCAGGACCUUUACUUAGAAAAAUUGAGUGUUUAAAGCAGGCUAUUUUGCUUGAAUACAUUAGCAUGGAAUAAUAAAAUAGGACGGCAUGGUUCUAUUUUGUUGGUUUCUAGGACCUACCGUAAUGAUUAAUAGGGAUAGUUGGGGGCAUUAGUAUUCAAUUGUCAGAGGUGAAAUUCUUGGAUUUAUGAGGACUAACUACUGCGAAAGCAUUUGCCAAGGAUUGUUUUCAUUAAUCAAAGAACGAAAGUUAGGGGAUACGAAGACGAUCAGAUACCGUCUAGUCUUAACAUAAACUAU